ACCUGCCAGGGGUGAGCUUCCGCUGCGCCCGUGGCAACAGACAAACACCGUGCCUUGGGAACAUUCAGGCACUUUUGGGCGUU
rnacentral:sRNA from 1 species